AAAAAAACCUCUCCGAAUUAAUCUACCUGCUCCUGCUUCAGCUGCAAUCUGGUUUCCUUGGCUCUGCCACUUGAAGUUUAAAUCGGCGUGUAAGUGAAGGCGUAUUUCUCCUUCACGCCUUCCCUGGUGCAAUGCUAUUUAAUCAGAAAUCAUUAUCUUUAAGAUUCAAGGACGUUGGAGGAGUGUCCAAAACCAUUGAAGACUUUGCUGAGCGAGGCAAGCAACCUACUUUGAUCAUGUUGAACCCAUAUUUGCAUCACACUUAGAAUUUUUUUUCAUGCAUAAAGUAUUGUUUACUAGUAUUGCUAUGUUAAGUAAAUUUGCUAGGGUUUAGCUAUGCCCCCUAUGUGCUUGAUAUUGACACCCCUUUGACAUUCUUAUGCUAAGUAAAUUAGCUAGGGUUUAGCUAUGCUCUAUGUACUUGAUAUUGACACCCUCCUUUGACAUUCUUAAUACCCC